CGCUUGUGACCAGACUUGGGCUCGGCGGAUCACCCGGGGUUCUCCCCGGUGCACUUCGCCGCGCCCAGGCCAGCAUCAGUUCGCCGCGGGGGAAAAAGGCUUCGGGAACGUGGCUCCCUCGGGAGUGUUAUAGCCCGCUGCACAAUACCCUGGGGCGGGCUGAGGACCGCGCAUCUUGCAAGGAUGCUGGCGUAAU
rnacentral:rRNA from 1 species